rnacentral:rRNA from 1 species
AAUCAACGCUGGCGGCGUGCCUCAGACAUGCAAGUCGAACGAUUAAAGCUCUCUUCGGAGAGUGUAUAGAGUGGCGCACGGGUGAGUAACACGUAAGUAAUCUACCUUUGAGUGGGGAAUAACAGUCGGAAACGACUGCUAAUACCGCAUAAUGCAGCGGCACCGCAAGGUGACAGUUGUUAAAGGAGCAAUUCGCUUAAAGAGGAGCUUGCGGCAGAUUAGCUUGUUGGUAAGGUAACGGCUUACCAAGGCUACGAUCUGUAUCCGGUCUUAGAGGACGGUCGGACACACUGACACUGAAUAACGGGUCAGACUCCUACGGGAGGCAGCAGUCGGGAAUCUUGCGCAAUGGGCGAAAGCCUGACGCAGCGACGCCGCGUGAGGGAUGACGGCC